CAGUAGCCGCGGGAAUACGGAGGAUCCGAGCGUUAUCCGGAAUUAUUGGGUUUAAAGGGUGCGUAGGCGGACAGAUAAGUCAGUGGUGAAAGACGGUGGCUCAACCAUCGCAGUGCCGUUGAUACUGUUUGUCUUGAAUAUGGAUGAGGUAGGCGGAAUGUGGCAAGUAGCGGUGAAAUGCAUAGAUAUGCCACAGAACACCGAUUGCGAAGGCAGCUUACCAAGGCAAUAUUGACGCUGAGGCACGAAAGCGUGGGGAUCGAACAGGAUUAGAUACCCCGGUAGUCCCUGUCUCUUAUAC
rnacentral:rRNA from 1 species